AGGGAGGUGCGGUUCUUUGUAAAGUGCCUUCGAAGAGUCGAGUUGUUUGGGUAAUGCAUCUCAUAAGUGGGUUGGAUAAAUUCCAUCUAAAGUCAUAAAAAAUAUGGUCGAGAGACCGAUAGCGUAACAAGUACAGUGUAUGGAAAGUAUGUAAAAGUAACUUUGUAAAAGUAGUAGUGAAAAAGUACGUGGAAAUUGUUGAAAGGGAAGGGCAUUUGAUCAGACAUGUGUGUUUUGUUGUCCCUCUGUCGUCCUUGUGGGUAGGGGAAUCUCGUCAUUUCACUGGGCCAGUCAUCAGUUUUUGAAAUGGUCAGUGUAUAAAUCCAUAGGUAAUGUUAGUCUUGUCCUCGGUUAAGGUAUUAUAGUCCGUGUUGGGUAAUACUGUCCUAGUCUGGGUACUGUAGGGGACGUGCGCACAGAUUAAGUUCAAGGGUAGUUCUGGGCCCUAACUUA
rnacentral:rRNA from 1 species